rnacentral:rRNA from 1 species
ACUCAAAUGAAUUGACGGGGGCCCGCACAAGCGGUGGAGCAUGUGGUUUAAUUCGAAGCAACGCGAAGAACCUUACCAGGUCUUGACAUCCCAUUGACCACUGUAGAGAUACAGUUUUCCCUUCGGGGACAACGGUGACAGGUGGUGCAUGGUUGUCGUCAGCUCGUGUCGUGAGAUGUUGGGUUAAGUCCCGCAACGAGCGCAACCCUUGUUCUUAGUUGCCAUCAUUUAGUUGGGCACUCUAAGGAGACUGCCGGUGACAAACCGGAGGAAGGUGGGGAUGACGUCAAAUCAUCAUGCCCCUUAUGACCUGGGCUACACACGUGCUACAAUGGACGGUACAAACGGUUGCCAACCCGCGAGGGGGAGCUAAUCCGAUAAAACCGUUCUCAGUUCGGAUUGUAGGCUGCAACUCGCCUACAUGAAGCCGGAAUCGCUAGUAAUCGUGGAUCAGCAUGCCACGGUGAAUACGUUCCCGGGCCUUGUACACACCGCCCGU